rnacentral:rRNA from 1 species
GAUGAACGCUGACAGAAUGCUUAACACAUGCAAGUCAUUGGCGAAGCUGCGCUUGCGCAGUCUAGCCAAGGCGGACGGGUGAGUAACGCGUAAGGAACUUGCCCUGCGGACAGGGAUAACAGACGGAAACGACUGAUAACACCUGGUAUUGUCAGGCUGGCGCAUGCCGGCCUGAUGAAAGGAGACGCUGCAGGGGAGCCUUGCGUCCUAUUAGCUAGUUGGUGGGGUAACGGCCCACCAAGGCGAUGAUAGGUAGCCGGCCUGAGAGGGUGAACGGCCACAAGGGGACUGAGAUACGGCCCUUACUCCUACGGGAGGCAGCAGUGGGGAAUAUUGGACAAUGGGGGCAACCCUGAUCCAGCAAUUCUGUGUGCACGAAGAAGGUUUUCGGAUUGUAAAGUGCUUUCAGCAGGGAAGAAGAAAGUGACGGUACCUGCAGAAGAAGCGACGGCUAAAUACGUG